rnacentral:rRNA from 1 species
AUUGAACGCUGGCGGCAGGCUUAACACAUGCAAGUCGAACGAGUGGCGGACGGGUGAGUAAUGUCUGGGAAACUGCCUGGUGGAGGGGGAUAACUACUGGAAACGGUAGCUAAUACCACAUACCAUCAGAUGUGCCCAGAUGGGAUUAGCUAGUGGGUGGGGUAAUGGCUCACCUAGGCGACGAUCCCUAGCUGGUCUGAGAGGAGGACCAGCCACACUGGAACGGAGAAACGGCCCAGACUCCUAGGGGAGGCAGCGGUGGGGAAUUUGGUACAAGGGGGGCAGCCCUGUUGCAGCCAGGCCGCGUGUGUGAUGAAGGCCUUCGGGUUGUAAAGCACUUUUAGCGGGGAGGCGGUACCCGCAGAAGAAGCACCGGCUAACUACGUGCCAGCAGCCGCGGUAAUAC